GGAUAACCUAACGUUAUGACUGGGAUAACCCGGGGAAACUGGGGAUAAUACCGGAUAUGUAGGGCUGCCUGGAAUGGUUCCCUAUUGAAAUGUUCCGACUCCUUCUGAUGGAUCUGCGGCAGAUUACGUAGUUGGCGGGGUAAAUGCCCACCAACCCAGUAGUCUGUACGGGUUGUGACACCAAGAUCCCGGAUAUGGAACCGGACACAAGGUUCCAGACCCUACCGGGCGCAACACGCCCGAAACCUCCGCAAUGCACAAAAGUGCAACCGGGGAAACCCUCUUGCCACUCUUAACUGGGUGGCUUUUCUUAAGUGUAAAAAGCUUUUGGAAUAAAAGCUGGGCGACACCGGUGCCAGCCGCCGCGGUAACUCCGGCGGCUCACGUGGUGGCCGUUUUUAUUGGGCCUAAAGCGUUCUUAACCGGCUUGAUAAGUCUCUGGUGAAAUCUCACGGCUUAACCGUGAGAAUUGCUGGAAAUACUAUUACGCUUGAAGCCUGGAGAGGUUACCGGUACUCCCGGGGUAUGGGUGAAAUCCUAUAAUCCCGGGAGGACCACCUGUGGCUAACGCGGCUAACUGGAACGGACCUGACCGUGAGUAACGAACGCCAACGGCACUAACCAGAUUAGAUACCCUGGUAGUCCUGGACGUAAACUAUGUGUACUUGGUGUUGCGAUGGCUCCGAGCUGCCACAGUGCCCAGUGGAAUCUGUUAACUCCACCGCCUGGGAACUACAGUCACACUACUGAGACUUAA
rnacentral:rRNA from 1 species